rnacentral:rRNA from 1 species
UACGGGGGGAGCAAGCGUUGUUCGGAUUUACUGGGCGUAAAGGGCGCGUAGGCGGCCACCGCAAGUCGACUGUGAAAUCUCCGGGCUUAACCCGGAAAGGUCAGCCGAUACUGCGGGGCUAGAGUGCAGAAGGGGCAACUGGAAUUCUCGGUGUAGCGGUGAGAUGCGUAGAUAUCGGGAGGAACACCAGUGGCGAAGGCGACUUCCUGGCCUGUUCUUGACGCUGAGGCGCGAAAGCUAGGGUAGCAAACGGG